rnacentral:rRNA from 1 species
AAGUGGUACGCGAGCUGGGUUUAGAACGUCGUGAGACAGUUCGGUCCCUAUCUGCCGUGGGCGCUGGAGAAUUGAGGGGGCUGCUCCUAGUACGAGAGGACCGGAGUGGACGCAUCACUGGUGUUCGGGUUGUCAUGCCAAUGGCAUGCCCGGUAGCUAAAUGCGGAAGAGAUAAGUGCUGAAAGCAUCUAAGCACGAAACUUGCCCCGAGAUGAGUUCUCCCUGAGACUAUAAGUCUCCUGAAGGAACGUUGAAGACGACGACGUUGAUAGGCCGGGUGUGUAAGCGCAGCGAUGCGUUGAGCUAACCGGUACUAAUGAACCGUGAGGC